rnacentral:rRNA from 1 species
AUAACGACUCUCGGCAACGGAUAUCUCGGCUCUCGCAUCGAUGAAGAACGCAGCGAAAUGCGAUACCUGGUGUGAAUUGCAGAAUCCCGUGAAUCAUCGAGUCUUUGAACGCAAGUUGCGCCCGAGGACAUCUGGUCUAGGGCACGCCUGCCUGGGCGUCACA